ACUAAAUAGGGAGCAAGGGAGCAUCCUAUAGCUCUCUAUAACUGUUCUGAGACCAGUGCAGACAGACAGCACACUGGAGGUUAAGUCAUGCACUAAAUAGGGAGCAAGGGUGCAUCCUAUAGCUCUCCUAUAACUGUUCUGAGACCAGUGCAGACAGACAGCACACUGGAGGUUAAGUCAUGCACUAAAUAGGGAGCAAGGGAGCAUCCUAUAGCUCUCCUAUAACUGUUCUGAGACCAGUGCAGACAGACAGCACACUGGAGGUUAAGUCAUGCACUAAAUAGGGAGCAAGGGAGCAUCCUAUAGCUCUCCUAUAACUGUUCUGAGACCAGUGCAGACAGACGGCACACUGGAGGUUAAGUCAUGCACUAAAUAGGGAGCAAGGGAGCAUCCUAUAGCUCUCUAUGCAGUUAAGUGCGUUCAGUUUCAGGCUGCAGAUGAUGUUUGGUUCACUCAGUGAUCAUCAGUACAUAGAUUCAACAUUUAUAAUGGAUCAUUUUAUUUGAACACUGUUGACAGUGAUUGGACGAUGCUGGACAUUACUUUGAAUCAGAUUUUUAUAGAUUGAAAAUAAAAACACAGUAAAUAUAAUCAAUUCUGUAAUUGCAUUUGUAUAUAAUUAAUAAAGUUUUCUUGAGCAGAAUCACUCAGAAAGAUGCCCACCUGUAGAUGUGCUGAUUGCGGCCUCUAGUGGUCAAACAUAAGAGCUGCAUUCAC